UUUCACACUUAGAAUAAUACUGCUUAUUACUAGAACAAAAAUUGUUGCCCUACAAAAUAGACAGCACAGAUGAAUUAAUAUCGAACUCAUACCUUGAUUACUCUUCUAUAUCUUGGAUUUUCCCAAACACCAGGUAUUCAAAUACUUUAUAUUUUUCAAUUAAUUUUGAAAUUCGAAUUGUCGCAAGCGCAUAUGUGGUUUUGAUAACAAACUUUAGCCCUUAGGCAUCUAGUAAUUUUUUUGUUUAUUCGAUUUUGUAGAAUUUAUGCUGAAUUUUUUGGACAGAAAGAAGCAUGCAUGCUCACGUAAGGGAUUAUACGUGUUUGUGAGCGUAUCCGUGUUUAUGGAUAUCUAUUUGUUGUUACUUCAUAAAAAAAUUAUCCUUUUGGAGAAAUUGUGGUGUUUCUUUGACUAGGAAUUGUAUUUGCAAAUUUUAUUCACAUGGACUGAAGUUGUUGAGUAACAUAUGGAAACAGUGGAUGUUGGUGUCCUUGUGGUGGCGCCGCAAAAAACCAUGGCAGUGUAUCCAACGUGGGGAGUUAUAAUCAAUGAGUGGAUGAGUUAUUAAUAAAAGUUGAUCAGGUAGAAUUUAGAUAUGAAUAUUGAAUUUAAAGUUUCCCCAUUUUCCAUCGAUUUUGAUUCAAUUUCUUCCAUAUUUUGUCUCGUUUAAUUAUUCAGUGCGUUAUAUUUUAUCUUGAAAGUAUUGCAAAUUUGCAAUGAGGAUGAAGAGAUAAUCUGAUUCUUUUGUGUUGUUUACUCAAGAUUCCUUUAUUAUUUAGAGUUCAUUUAUUCUACUAAUGAUUGAUACCAACUACUGUAUUCACCAAAAGGGAAAUGGAAUUCUGAUCCCUGGAGUAAUUUUGACGACUGUACAUGUAAUGAUGGAAUUAUAAUCUAUUUUUAUUUAUAGCUAGAGCGAAACUUGAAUGAGGAUGAGCAAUUUUACACUUUUGCAAAUAAAAAGAAGCUGAGCACUCCAAAAGGUAGCUCAGUUCUGAAGGACAAAGAUAGCGAGAAGCUGUUUCCCAGCUCAAAAAGGAGGAAACAGGAUACAGCCAGUAGGGAAGCUGCUAGUAAGAGAAUGCAAGGCUUAUGUGCCAAUUUGCAAUGAUUCUACAUCAGCUGGACAGGGUAGAACUCAAAGAUAUGGUACUUCAGAACUGCAGAAAAAUGUCAACUGAAGAGAAGAGAAGACUUAGCAGUGCAAUUGCCAAGUUAUGUCCUGAGGAUAUCGACAAGGUUGUAGAAAUCGUUGCCUAGAAAAACCCUGACUUUCAAGCAGCCAGGGAAGACGUGGAAAUUAACAUGGACGUUCAGACUGAGUCAACUUUAUGGAAAUUGAAGUUUUUCAUCAGAGAUGCCCUACAUGACUGGAAGAAUUCACCAAACAUCAAUGAGGAUAAUCUGGUCAUUCUUCACGAACAAAAACAAGGGAUACAGAUAAUCUACAGAACACACAUACAGGCAGGGUGGAUGAUUUUUUUUUUUUCAAUAUAAAACUCACAUGGGGUGGGCCCUAUGUGAGUUUUCUGAUUUUGUUCCGUGAAUGAACAGUUUUGGUAAACAGAAAUUGUCCUAAUCAAAACAAUAGUAACAGAAGAAAAAGGGAGAUUUGUGAUAUCCUUGCUAAGACUUUGCAGAAGAGGGGCAAAAGGUUCCCUGGCUGACAGUACCAUAUCCUGUUUGGCUCU